rnacentral:rRNA from 1 species
GACGAACGCUGGCGGCGUGCUUAACACAUGCAAGUCGAACGGAAAGGCCCUGCUUUUGUUGGGUGCUCGAGUGGCGAACGGGUGAGUAACACGUGAGUAACCUGCCCCUGACUUUGGGAUAACUUCAGGAAACUGGGGCUAAUACAGGAUAGGAGCUCCUGCUGCAUGGUGGGGGUUGGAAAGUUUCGGCGGUGGUGGAUGGACUCGCGGCUUAUCAGCUUGUUGGUGGGGUAGUGGCUUACCAAGGCUUUGACGGGUAGCCGGCCUGAGAGGGGGACCGGCCACAUUGGGACUGAGAGACGGCCCAGACUCCUACGGGAGGCAGCAGUGGGGAAUAUGGCACAAUGGGCGGAAGCCUGAUGCAGCAACGCCGCGUGCGGGAUGCCGGCCUUCGGGUUGUAAACCGCUUUCGCCUGUGACGAAGCGUGAGUGACGGUAAUGGGUAAAGAAGCACCGGCUAACUACGUG